CGUGGGUCUCCGCCAUGGGCCUGCGCCGCCUCGGGACCGGGGUCAGGGAGCUCCUGCCUGCCUGGAUGAAGAGGAGGUCAAGACUUUGUCCCCCACUCCGCAAGAUACCCUCUCUGUUCCGGAGCGGUGGGUCCCUCCCCUGUUAGGACCUUGUCUCCCUCAGGACUGGACCUGGAUCCUGGGCCUGCAGUCAGAUUGCCAGUUUCACUUAGAGGUGGAAAUGUCAACCCACUGGUUGGAAUGGGAAGGUGAGACAGGAUUUCACCAUGUUAGCCAGGAUGGUCUUGAUCUCCUGACCUCAUGAUCUGCCCACCUCGGCCUCCCAAAGUGCUGGGCUUACAGGCGUGAGCCACCGUGCCCGGCCAAAAAUAACUUUUAAAAACAUGAGUAUAGCAUACACACACACAAAAGUCCACAAAUCCUAGGUGUACCACUUGAUGAAUGAUCCCAACGUGAGCACACCUCUGGAUUACCACCUGGAUCAAGAAAUAGGACAUCACAGCAGCUGGCAGCUUCCAAGGAGAAGCUCUGGAAAGUUCUGCCUGUCUCAGCACCUGGCUGGAUCGGAAACGAGUUUUCUUUAACCAGAUUUUUAAUGACUGACUUAUGUGGACAAAUCAUAACUGAAUGAAUCACCUCCUUUGUUGAUUUUUUUGGGUACUUUAUUUGCUAUUAUAAAUGAUGCUGUAAUAAGCACCCUUGAAGAAAUCUUCAUAUCUGCCUCUCCUGUGUAGCAGGUCACAGUGCCUGGGUUUGGUUCUAGCCCUCAUUUGUGAACUGUGUGACUCACCAUGCCUUUUUUCUUUCUGUAAGACAGGAAUAAUGGUAAGAAUUUAAAUGGGGGUAAUAUGGAGCGCGUUUAGUUCAGAGCCUGGUGCAUACAAGCACUCAAUAAGUACUGGCGAUUAUUAGACCUUUAGAUUAAUUUAUUAGAAGUUGGAUUUCUGGUGAAAGGGUUUGAGUGUUUUUGAGGCUUUGGCACAGAAUACCCAGCUGGUCCCAGAAAGGUGGUUCCCAUUUACCUGCCCGAAGGUAAUUCACCCUUACUGAUACUGAGUACUGUUUUCUAAAAGAACAUUAAAAAUUGGAUAGGUUAAAAACAGGUGAAUACAUUUUUUUAGUUGCAUUUUUUUGGUUACCCGUGAGAGUGAACAUGUUGCCAUGUGUUUGCUGACCUCCUAAAUGGUCUAUUUGCUCCUACCUUUGUACCCCAAAAGUCUGCUCUCAAGAUGGUAGCCAGAAUGAUCCUUUUUGAGACAUAAGUCAAAAUUUCACUCUUCUCCUUAAAGCUCUGCAAUGGUUCUCAGGUUAAAAGCCAAAGUCCUGUUCAAGGCCUCCAGGGUCCUCACCACUUGGUCCCUUGCUCUUUCUGUUCUAGCCAACUUGGCCUUCUCCUGCCCCUCCGCCGCACCAUGGCAAUUUCCCCUGCUCUGUGUGGUCAACUACCUGAAUCUGUUCAAAGCUUUGCUCAAAUGUCUCCUUCCUGAUGAGACCUCCCCAGCCCCUGAGCUCCCCAUGCCUCACUCCUGAUCGCCUUACUUAACCCUUCUUUUUCUUUUUUGCCAGUAGUACUUAUCACCGUCUAAAAUACUUCAUAAUUUACUUGUUUAUUGUUUGCCCCUCUCCAAUAGAAUGUAAGCUCCUUGGGGCAGGGACCUUUGUCCUUUGUCUUGUUCACUGCUGUGUCCCAUGUGUAAACUUGUCUGGCACAGAAGAGGUGCUCGAUAAAUAUUUGUUGAGUGAAUGAAUGGUAAAUUUUCUGUUCAUAUUCUUUGACUAUUUUCUAUUGUAAUGUUCAUCUUUUUAGUAUUGGUUUAUAAGAUGUAUAUUUAGCACCUUUUCAUAUAUCACUCUUUGUCACAUAUUAUGCAACUAAUUUGUCAUUUCCAUCAAUUUUUAAAAUACUUUCUUGAUGCUUCAUUUUUAAGCUGUCAGAUUAUUAAUCUUUUCUUUAUGGUCUUGGACUUUAUUGUUGCAUAACCGCUGCCUUCACCAGGAACAUAUAAAUUUUCAAUUAAAUGUUCUUCUGAGAUUUUAUGAUUUCACUUUUUAUAUUAAACUCUUCAUUUUGUCUUCAUGUGUGGUGAGAGGUAAGAACAUAACUUUAAAGCAAAUUAACCAACUAUCCCCAAAUGAAUUAUAAAUAAAUUAAUCAUUUUCCAAUGAUCUGAAAGGCCAUUUUAUCAUACACUAAAUAUUUUUGUGUGUUUGACUGGGUUUACCGUUCUGUUCCGUUGGCCUAUCACAUCGUUCUUACAUUGGUAUUUGUUGCCCUAUUUUAAUGAUUGUAACUUUUUAAUAAGGGUUAAUGACUGAGAAUACAAGUCCCAUUGUUUUGUUUUAUUAUUUUUAUUAUUUUUUUGAGACAGGGUUUCACUCUGUCACCCAGGCUGGAGUAUAGUAGCACUAUCUCGGCUCAUUGCAACCUCUGCCUCCCUGGUUCAAGUGAUUCUCCCACCUCAACCUCCCGAGUAGCUGGGACUACAGAUGCAUGCCACCACACCCAGCUAAUUCUUGUAUUUUUAGUAGAGACAGGGUUUCACCAUGUUGACCAGGCUGGUCUUGAACUCCUGGCUUCAAGUGAUUCACCUGCCUCGACCUCCCAAAGUGCUGGGAUUACAGGCGUGACUCACCACGCCUGGCCCAUUUUUUUCUUUUGAGGUGUUCUUUGUGGCAAUUCAUAUAUUCUUUAAGAUAAAUUCUAAACUUUUUUUUUCUGCCGAGAUAAACUAGCAGACAAAUCCCACUGGACAUUGCAAUUGGAUUAGUUUUGUAGAUUAAUUUAGUGAUAAUCAACUUCUUUGCACCAUUGAGUGCUUCUGUCCGGGAACGUGGCAUAUCUUUCUAUUAUUAAGGUCUUUUUUAUUAUAGGUCUUUAGGGAAGCUUUAUUUUAUAGAUGAAUGUAGUGUGUUUGGUGCUUAUUUUCAUAAAAUAAAGCAAUGACAUCUGUGGCAGGCAGCUUCUGAAAUGGCUCCCAAUGAUCCUUACCUUCUGAUAGUCACCCCCUUGGAGAAUCCCUUUCCUUUGUGUGUGGGCUGGAUCUAGUGACUUGCUUCUCAUAAAUAGAAUAUGGCAAAAAAUGAUGGGUUGUUACUUCUGAGAUUAGGUUAUAAGAGGCGAAUUUCUGUUUUGCUGUAAUUUUGUCUCUCUAACCCUCUUGCUUUCCUGUGCUCAUGAAACCAGCUGCUGUGUUGUGAGCCACCUUAUGGAAAACCCAUGUGGCAGAGAACCGAGGGUGGUGGCUGGCCAACAGCAAGCCAGGAGCUGAGGCCCACAGUCCAACAACUGAGACUGGGUCCCACCAUAUUGCCUGGGCUGGCCUCGGACUCUUGACCCCAAGUGAUCCUCUGGCCUCAGCCUCCCAAGCAGCUGGAUUUACAGGCAGGCACCACCGCACCGAGCUAAAAACGCCUGGCUUCCCUGGGCCUGCUGCACCUGCUCUGGCUAGGUUGGAGAGGGCUGCAGGGAGGACCGCAGUCAGCAGAGGGCGCCAAAGCCUCUCAACACAAGCAUGGCCCAGGCCUGGCCCAGAAGGAGAGCGCUGAGAGCCAGGACUGGCGGGCUACGUGCGCCCUGUGGAUUCCCCCAUUUCCCAUGCUUCAUCCAGCCAUGGGCCUGCAGUGCACUCACAAAUGUGCAUAUACCCUCCUGUGUGUGUGUUACACUCAUCAAAUUGUCUCUGAAUUUGCUUGGCUUCAUGUGUUCCUGUGUGUGUUUAUGUGUGUGUGUGGUGUGUCUGGUGUAUCUGGUUCCCCAGGAAGCACAUUUGACAGCCCCACAGUCAGGGUCAGGGCACAGGGACAGAUACUGUGUCUAUAACAAUCCAUAACACUGAUUUUGUUCAUCUCAAUAAAUGUGAGAAUGAAAUAAAAAUUAAUGUAGAAUAUUUUGUACAUCUCAAUAAAGCCACUUUCUGGGGGCAGGCAUUAUAAUUCUAGCCUCUGUUCUACUGUUUGAUAGGUAAAGAAUAACUUUCCACAUAGGGAGAGGAAUGGACAGCUACCCAGCCCUCCCACUGUUACAGGCCUGGGCUAGAAGCUUUCCAUCUAGGCUCCUGGUUG
rnacentral:lncRNA from 10 species